GCCUUCGUGGUUUAGUGGUCAAUACGCUAGACGCGUAUUCGAGAAGUACGUGGUUCGAGUCCCGGCGAGGGCA
rnacentral:tRNA from 1 species